rnacentral:rRNA from 1 species
AGAGUUUGAUCCUGGCUCAGAUUGAACGCUGGCGGCAUGCCUUACACAUGCAAGUCGAACGGCAGCACGGGAGCUUGCUCCUGGUGGCGAGUGGCGAACGGGUGAGUAAUAUAUCGGAACGUACCCUAGAGUGGGGGAUAACGCAGCUAAAGUUGCGCUAAUACCGCAUACGAUCUACGGAUGAAAGUGGGGGAUCGCAAGACCUCAUGCUCAUGGAGCGGCCGAUAUCUGAUUAGCUAGUUGGUAGGGUAAAAGCCUACCAAGGCUUCGAUCAGUAGCUGGUCUGAGAGGACAACCAGCCACACUGGAACUGAGACACGGUCCAGACUCCUACGGGAGGCAGCAGUGGGGAAUUUUGGACAAUGGGCGCAAGCCUGAUCCAGCAAUGCCGCGUGAGUGAAGAAGGCCUUCGGGUUGUAAAGCUCUUUUGUCAGGGAAGAAACGGUGGACUCUAAUACAGAUCACUAAUGACGGUACCUGAAGAAUAAGCACCGGCUAACUACGUGCCAGCAGCCGCGGUAAUACGUAGGGUGCAAGCGUUAAUCGGAAUUACUGGGCGUAAAGCGUGCGCAGGCGGUUGUGCAAGACAGAUGUGAAAUCCCCGGGCUCAACCUGGGAAUUGCAUUUGUGACUGCACGGCUAGAGUGUGUCAGAGGGGGGUAGAAUUUCACGUGUAGCAGUGAAAUGCGUAGAGAUGUGGAGGAAUACCGAUGGCGAAGGCAGCCCCCUGGGAUAACACUGACGCUCAUGCACGAAAGCGUGGGGAGCAAACAGGAUUAGAUACCCUGGUAGUCCACGCCCUAAACGAUGUCUACUAGUUGUUGGGUCUUAAUUGACUUAGUAACGCAGCUAACGCGUGAAGUAGACCGCCUGGGGAGUACGGUCGCAAGAUUAAAACUCAAAGGAAUUGACGGGGACCCGCACAAGCGGUGGAUGAUGUUGAUUAAUUCGAUGCAACGCGAAAAACCUUACCUACCCUUGACAUGUACGGAAUCCCUGAGAGAUUAGGGAGUGCUCGAAAGAGAGCCGUAACACAGGUGCUGCAUGGCUGUCGUCAGCUCGUGUCGUGAGAUGUUGGGUUAAGUCCCGCAACGAGCGCAACCCUUGUCAUUAGUUGCUACGAAAGGGCACUCUAAUGAGACUGCCGGUGACAAACCGGAGGAAGGUGGGGAUGACGUCAAGUCCUCAUGGCCCUUAUGGGUAGGGCUUCACACGUCAUACAAUGGUAUAUACAGAGGGCCGCCAACCCGCGAGGGGGAGCUAAUCCCAGAAAGCGUAUCGUAGUCCGGAUUGUAGUCUGCAACUCGACUACAUGAAGUUGGAAUCGCUAGUAAUCGCGGAUCAGCAUGUCGCGGUGAAUACGUUCCCGGGUCUUGUACACACCGCCCGUCACACCAUGGGAGCGGGUUUCACCAGAAGUAGGUAGCCUAACCGUAAGGAGGGCGCUUACCACGGUGGGAUUCGUGACUGGGGUGAAGUCGUAACAAGGUA